GCACUAAUACUAAUUUAAUUAGUCAAUUCUUGAUCACAUAUAGUACAAGAAAGCUACAACAAUUGACAAGAAAGUAGCAGAGAGACCAGCAACACCAAGUGAUUUAGCAGAGCUGUCGGAUGGAGGUGGGGCAUUGGCACCUGCAGGAGAUGGGGAAGAAGGGGUGGUUGGGGAUGGAGGAGUGGUGGAGGUGGUAGGUGGAGUUGCCGUGGUGGUUGGUGGAGUGGCAGUGGAAGAUGGCGUUGGUGCAGAAACUGGAGUGGAAGAGGGUGCUGAAACAGGAGUAGGGGAUGGGGCCGGAACAGGUGUAGUGGUGGACUGAGGUGGAGGUGAAGGAGAUGAUGGUUGUGGGGCUGGAGCUGGGGUUGUUGCAGCACUAACAUUGAUCAUCAACUUCUGACCAGCACUGCAGUGACCAGUAAAAUUGCAGAUAAAGUAGUGUUCGCC
rnacentral:lncRNA from 1 species